rnacentral:misc_RNA from 1 species
AACGAGGCCGACCUGCGGCUGAGUUACCUGCGGAGGGAUCAUUACCGAGUUUACAACUCCCAAACCCCUGUGAACAUACCUAUACGUUGCCUCGGCGGAUCAGCCCGCGCCCUGUAAAAAGGGACGGCCCGCCCGAGGACCCCUAAACUCUGUUUUUAGUGGAACUUCUGAGUAAAACAAACAAAUAAAUCAAAACUUUUAACAACGGAUCU